rnacentral:rRNA from 1 species
GACGAACGCUGGCGGCGUGCUUAACACAUGCAAGUCGAACGCUGAAGCUUGGUGCUUGCACUGGGUGGAUGAGUGGCGAACGGGUGAGUAAUACGUGAGUAACCUGCCCUUGACUCUGGGAUAAGCCUGGGAAACUGGGUCUAAUACUGGAUACGACAUGUCACCGCAUGGUGGCGUGUGGAAAGGGUUUUACUGGUUUUGGAUGGGCUCGCGGCCUAUCAGCUUGUUGGUGGGGUAAUGGCUUACCAAGGCGACGACGGGUAGCCGGCCUGAGAGGGUGACCGGCCACACUGGGACUGAGACACGGCCCAGACUCCUACGGGAGGCAGCAGUGGGGAAUAUUGCACAAUGGGCGGAAGCCUGAUGCAGCGACGCCGCGUGAGGGAUGACGGCCUUCGGGUUGUAAACCUCUUUCAGCACGGAAGAAGCGAAAGUGACGGUACGUGGAGAAGAAGCGCCGGCUAACUACGUG